AACGAACGCUGGCGGCAUGCCUAACACAUGCAAGUCGAACGAGACCUUCGGGUCUAGUGGCGCACGGGUGCGUAACGCGUGGGAACCUGCCCUUAGGUUCGGAAUAACUCCCCGAAAGGGGUGCUAAUACCGGAUAAUGUCUUCGGACCAAAGAUUUAUCGCCUUUGGAUGGGCCCGCGUUGGAUUAGCUAGUUGGUAGGGUAAAAGCCUACCAAGGCGACGAUCCAUAGCUGGUCUGAGAGGAUGAUCAGCCACACUGGGACUGAGACACGGCCCAGACUCCUACGGGAGGCAGCAGUGGGGAAUAUGGGACAAGGGCGAAAGCCUGAUCCAGCAAUGCCGCGUGAGUGAUGAAGGCCUUAGGGUUGUAAAGCUCUUUUACCCGGGAUGAUAAUGACAGUACCGGGAGAAUAAGCUCCGGCUAACUCCGUU
rnacentral:rRNA from 1 species